rnacentral:lncRNA from 1 species
ACAUGGCCCCGCUUCCUCCCUCAGUCUGUGGCCUCAGGAGGGGACUGCUUUGCCUGUGAGUGGGAGGGAGCUACCGUGUGAGUAGUUCCCAACAGACCAUCUGAAGUCAUUUUCCCAGGUGGCAGGAGAAACACAGAGCCAGACGUUACACUGCUUUUCAAAGAGAGUUGCCUCUGCUGCCCCAGCGAGGAUGGCGGCACAAACAGCGGUGGUGUCAGCGGUGACUGAGGCAGCGCCAAGACUCCAGGGCCCUUCGGGUUCAAGCUGUGCCCCCUCACGCAGUUCAGCACCUGCCAGCACUUCCAAGUGUGUGAUUGUCAUGCUUCCCUGAUUACUCCUUUUGGGCUCCCAUAGCAAUUUGUACAUUACUAUGGAAUUGAUCAAAUCGCUUUAUAACUA